AUGCAGUGAGGUCCCCAGGGUCUGUGGGGUGAGUUCAGCUGCCGUUUCCUACAAUGUGUUGCUCCAGGCCACGGUGCUUUUGUCCUUGACUUGUACAAGGUGCGGUCUAGAGAGAACUUCAUGCUUCAAAUUUGAAAGAAUAUGCAACUAUAGAAGAGACUCAUCCACAGUGUAAUGGGUUGUUGGGCCCAUUGCUAUGUGGACCACCAUGUGGACCUGCAGUCAGGGAUGCAGAGACUGCCUCUUCCCGUCGUCCCUGUCAUCAAAGCAUUUCUCAUACAAUGGCCAAAAAGCAUCCCAAGCCUCGGUUCUUAAAAAAACAGGUUCCAUGUCAGCCAGAACCUAAUGGACCUCGAGAGAUAGGCAGACAUUAUUUUUACUUCUAUUUUGUACAUUGUAUGAAGAACACUCAUUGAAGAUCUCAUUGCUAAAGCUGUGCUGAGCAUGUGCUACGGCUGGGACUGGCUGAGACACGGAUGUGGGAUCAAUACAUUUAUUGAGAAGAUAAGCCAGGGUUACUAAUCAGAUCUGAAG